GAUAACGUUCGCGCAAUUUUUUGAAACUACAAACACAAAUACUGUGAUAACGUUUGCUAAGUACAAACGAAAUUAUAUUUAUGCGAGGGAACGGUUGCGUCAUGUUGACAUUACUUGUCGUACAGGUGCUUAUGUGGCAAAUGUGAGAAGAUGGCUACAGAACCAGAAAAUAUAUGCUGCAGGGAGAUAGAACAGGUUACAAGACGGAUGAAACAACUUCAAGUCACUCCAUCAUGUAUGGUAGACCAUCCCGGAAAACAUACACAGUUUUUAAUACAAUAUCUUU